rnacentral:lncRNA from 1 species
UUGCCUUAACAAAAGAGUAGUUUAACCAAAAAAAACAUGCAAUAAAAUGUGCACGGGGCAUAUUUAUAUUCCAAAGUACCUAACUAGAGAAAUCCAAAGUACCUAUAAGUCAGACCACGACAAACAAAUUGAAACAGAGGAGUAAUCAAUAAAGGCAAGUCAGAAUAUAAAUAUGCCUCGAUGUUAAGCUCAUAAAGGAAUUCACCCCUCGCACAUCUAAUUUGUUUUCAUCAUUCUUGCCCCAACCAACAAGAGAGUAGUUUACCAAUAAAAGUUGCGAUAAAAUGUACAUCCCACCAUCUACUAGAGCAAUUUGAAGUAUCUAUAAGUAAGACUACGGCAAGCAAAUUGAAACAAAGGAGUAAUACGUAAAGGCAAGUCAGAAUAUAAAUAUGCCUCGAUGUUAAGCUCAUAGAGGAAUACAUCCCUCGCACAUCUAAUUUUUUUCAUCAUUCUUGCCAAAACAAAACAUCAGAUUUACCGAUAAAGCCUACAGCGAGCAAAUUGAAACAGCAGAGUAACCCAUAAAGGCAAGUCAGACUAUAACUAUGCCUCGAGGUUAAGCUCAUAGAGGAAUACACCCCUCACGCAUCUAAUUUUUUUCAUCAUUCUUGCCAUAACAAAAGAGUAGAUUUACAAAUAAAGCCUGUAUCUACUAGAGCCGAAGGACUUAUAAGUCAGACUACGGCAAGCAAAUUGAAAAAAUGGAGCAAUCCAUAAAAGCAAAUCAGACAAUAAAUACGCCUUGAUGUUAAGCUAAUAGAGGAAUACACCCCUCACACGUAAUUUUUUUUUCACCAUUCUUGAAAAAACAAAAGAGUAGAUAUGCCAAUUCCCUCCCCACGUCUACUGGAGCAAACCGAAGAAUCUUUUGUUCUAUAAUCCCACAAUAUGGCAAAGAUACACUUACUAAGUCAUGUAAAUUGAACAAAUGCAGUAAUCCAUAAAGGCAAGUCAGAAUAUCAAUAAGCCUCGAUGUUAAGCUCACACAGGAAUUAACCCCUGGCACAUCUAACUUUUUUCAUCAUUCUUGCCAUGACUAAAGAGCAAAGUCAUCAAAAAAAGCAUGUAUUAAAAUGCUAUGUUGUUAGAGUCCUUCAAAAAUUCCGCUGAACACGUAUAGCAUCCUCCAAUACUACUACUACUACUACUACAACAACAACAACAAAAACCAGGCAAAAAUAACAAAAAUAUAAGGAAAACCAAAACUCAAGCAAGUCAGAAUAUCAAUAAGCAUUGAAGUUACGCUCAAAAAGAAAUUCACCUCUCGCACAUCUAAAUUUUUUCAUCAUUCUUGCCAUAACAAGGAAUAUAUUAACUAAUAAAACUUGCAAUAAAAUGUAUACCCAUCCAUUUACUUGAGCAAUCCAAAGUAUCUUUUGUUCUAUAAUCUAACAAUAUGGAAAAGAUACACCAUAUAAAACACACUAUGACAUACAAAUUACAAAAGCGAAGGUAGUUCAUAAAAGGCAAGUCAGAAUAUCAAUAAGCCUCGAUGUAAGCUCAUAAAGGAAUUCCACCUCUCACACAUCUAAUUUUUUCAUCAUUCUUGCGAUAACAAAGAGUAAAUAUACAAAUAACAAUUACAUCAUAAUGUACACCCCACCUCAACUAGAGUCAUUCAGAGUAUCUUUGGGUCUAUAAUCCCAUAUGGGAAAGAUAGAACCAAAAAAGGGAAAUGACCAAAUAUAAUUAGGAGAGGCAAAAAGAGAAUCACUAAAGGAAAACCCUAAAGAGAACCUCCAGCAUAUACAACUCUCUUAAUAUAUAUACAAGUACAUUAAACAAGUGUGUAUAUACAGUUAAUGUAGCGCGGCUAUGACUCAAAACGCUUCCAUGGUGCAUAGUGGAAGGCGAUCUUAAGGGCUGCGCAAAAUAUCAAAAUUAUUCUAGAAUAAAUAGUAUAUUCCUAAAGUGCCAUCUCUCAAAAAAUAUACUUAAAAAGGUAGAUUUUUUUCAUUGGUAACAAAUUUUACCAACUUAAUUAUAAGAACACGUCCUAAAGUGCCAUCUCUCAAAAAAUAUAAUUAAAAAAGGUAGAAUUUUUCCAUCAAAGAAAUUUAUAUCAACAAAAUUUUACCAAUUUUAUUAUAAGAACACGAAAUUAAACAGUUUGUAGUUUAAAAAACAAUGCACAGUAAUAUAUCAAAGCUAAUAAUUGAUCUGCAAACCAUUGUUUUCUUUUCAACAAGUGAUGCGUCUAUACUUUCAGUGAACCGAGGGUCUAUCAAAAACAGUAUCUUUAGUUUCACAAGGGUAUGUACAAACUACCCUGCCCAUAUACACUUGGAUUUUUUGAUGUUGUUGUUGUUAUAAGGUGCAAAAUAAUACUGUACCAUCCAUGAAAAUCAACUGCAAGAUUAAUUACAGCUGACAAAGUGAAGAAUGGGAAUAAAUAUCAGGAACUAAGAACACCCUCUAUUGCACUUAACAAGCAGGAGAGAAGAUAAUAGAUAGCUCCUCCUCGGCAUUUAAGCAUGCAAUUACAUACAAUUAAAGGGUAGAAAAACUAAAAAACGCACAAAACGUAAUUUAUACCAAAGUCUCAUAGUUCUGAAACAAAUUUUAAAGUUUACCAGUCAUGCUAAUCAACUGUAACAGAAGAAAACACAGCUGACUAAGUUGAGAAUGGCAAUAACUAUAAGGGUACUUAUAACAUCCCUGUAGUAUAUAAAUUGCUACGGGUUUAACAGAAAUAUUACGCACCCAAUAUUCACAAGAAUUUAAGGGGAAAACAACAAAGAACAGAGAGCAAAUUGGAAACCAUGAAAAUUAAAGUAAUAGAGAACAAGCUCACAUUGGUUUAGUAAGAAGCUCAUUUUCUAGCGGUAUUCGGCUAUCUUGGGGAGCUUAAACCGCAGGAGUUGGUGAGUGAAAAACAGAUUAUUUAUAGAAUCGCCAGUUUUAGGGUUUUUGAAGAGC